rnacentral:rRNA from 1 species
ACGGAAGGCAGCAGUGGGGAAUAUUGGGCAAUGGGCGAAAGCCUGACCCAGCAACGCCGCGUGAAGGAUGACGGUCUUCGGAUUGUAAACUUCUUUAAUUGGGGAAGAAUAAAUGACCUACCCAAAGAAUAAGUCACGGCUAACUACGUGCCAGCAGCCGCGGUAAUACGUAGGUGACAAGCGUUAUCCGGAUUUACUGGGCGUAAAGGGCGUGUAGGCGGUUUGGCAAGUCAGAAGUGAAAUUCCCGAGCUCAACUCGGGCGCUGCUUCUGAAACUGCUAGACUUGAGUGCUGGAGGGGAUAGCGGAAUUCCUAGUGGAGCGGUAAAAUGCGCAGAUAUUAGGAGGAACACCAGUGGCGAAGGCGGCUUACUGGACUGUAACUGACGUUGAGGCUCGAAAGCGUGGGGAGCAAACAGGAUUAGAUACCCUGGUA